UACGUAGGGAGCAAGCGUUGUCCGGAAUCAUUGGGCGUAAAGCGCGCGUAGGCGGCCUCAUAAGUCCGUUGUGAAAGUCAAAGGCUCAACCUUUGAAAGCCGAUGGAUACUGUGAGGCUAGAGUCCGGAAGAGGCGAGUGGAAUUCCUGGUGUAGCGGUGGAAUGCGCAGAUAUCAGGAGGAACACCAAUAGCGAAGGCAGCUCGCUGGGACGGUACUGACGCUGAGGCGCGAAAGCGUGGGGAGCAAACAGG
rnacentral:rRNA from 1 species